UUGAACGCUGGCGGCAGGCCUAACACAUGCAAGUCGAACGGUAACAGGGAUCAGCUUGCUGAUUCGCUGACGAGUGGCGGACGGGUGAGUAAUGUCUGGGAAACUGCCUGAUGGAGGGGGAUAACUACUGGAAACGGUAGCUAAUACCGCAUAACGUCGCAAGACCAAAGAGGGGGACCUUCGGGCCUCUUGCCAUCGGAUGUGCCCAGAUGGGAUUAGCUAGUAGGUGGGGUAACGGCUCACCUAGGCGACGAUCCCUAGCUGGUCUGAGAGGAUGACCAGCCACACUGGAACUGAGACACGGUCCAGACUCCUACGGGAGGCAGCAGUGGGGAAUAUUGCACAAUGGGCGCAAGCCUGAUGCAGCCAUGCCGCGUGUAUGAAGAAGGCCUUCGGGUUGUAAAGUACUUUCAGCGGGGAGGAAGGGAGUAAAGUUAAUACCUUUGCUCAUUGACGUUACCCGCAGAAGAAGCACCGGCUAACUCCGUG
rnacentral:rRNA from 1 species